rnacentral:rRNA from 1 species
AUACGUAGGUGACAAGCGUUAUCCGGAUUUACUGGGCGUAAAGGGCGUGUAGGCGGUCUUGCAAGUCAGAAGUGAAAUUCCUGAGCUCAACUCGGGCGCUGCUUCUGAAACUGCAGGACUUGAGUGCUGGAGGGGAUAGCGGAAUUCCUAGUGGAGCGGUAAAAUGCGCAGUUAUUAGGAAGAACACCGGUGUCGAAGGCGAUGAUCGGGACAGUAACUGAAGUGGAGGCGCGAACGGGUAGGGACCAAACAGGAUUUGAAAACCUGGGAGUCCACGCCGUAAACGAUGAAUACUAAGUGUAGGGUGUAUCCACUCCCUCUGUGCUGCAGUUAACGCAAUAAGGAUUCCGCCUGGGGAGUACGGCCGCAAGGUGGAAGCUCAAAGGAAUUGACGGGG